UACACCAGAAAACGAAGUUCAGAAUCAAUGUACUGUUCCCUAGUCCCAUAAACUGGGUCAUGAGGUGGGCCUCGUAGAGGUUAUUAAAAAAUUUCAUUCAUUAAUUCGAAGAAAUUUGAGCAUAGGCCUGUUUAGAUCAAUAUUGAUGAGCAUAUAACGUUCCCCAUUUCUAUCCAUGGAGCAUAGAUGUUCCUAUGCUACCAGUACUUGAUCAAGACUUUACCUAUCUUCUCUGUCCUCAUGAUCUUGACGGAGUUUACUUUUCACCGAAUGUAGCUGUCAAUCCAAUCAUAUAAUGACGAGGCAGUAUAAUAAUAUGCUCUGAUGAGCGGAGAAAUGAAGCAUUACUCUAAACAUAUUGGAGCAAUAGUUGUCCCUUUCUCAAAUUCGUUUAACAGGACAGCUUUAUGCGGACCAUUUGUAGGCCAACGGUUCUUCGGGAGGCUGUGAGACAGGACGGGCCAAAAGGUGUAUGGAGUCUGGAUGCUCACGAGUUCCAUACCUUCCAGGUUCUGCCUCCCCAGCUCCCUUGUAUCUGUACCAAAGUGCUUAUGAUUUUCAGGGUUUUAGCUAGGGUUUGGCAGCCGUGGGGACUGCUCACUCUCUGCAACAAUCAUGGCCGAACACGCAAAUACCUGAAAGCGCUUAAAACCUAGCACCAUACCUUCUUAUAAAACUGCCAGUUCACAGAUAUUUUUCACUACUUGUCAAUAGUUUUGGCUAGGGUUUGGCAAUAUGUACUAAUGUGCUAUGAUUCUCCAGGUUUUGGCUAGGGUUUAACAGCCGUGGGGGCUACUCACUCUCUACAACAAUCAUGGCUGAAUACGCAAAUACCUGAAAGUGUUUAUACCCUAGCACCAUACCUAUUUAUCAAACUGCCAGUCAAUAGUUUUGGUUAGGGUUUGACAAUCUGUACUAACGUGCUUAUGAUUUUCCAUGUUUUGACUAGGGUUUGGCAAUCCGUACUAACUACCCGCUCUCUGCAACAAUCAUGGCCAAAUAUGCAAAUACCUGGAAGUGCUUAUACCCUACUCCCUAGCACCAUAUCUACUUAAUAAACUGCCAGUUGUCAGAUAUUUUUCACUACCUGUCAAUAGUUUUUUCUAACAUCUCCAUUUCCAAGUUUAAUAUCAAUUAUCCCUAAAGAUAGUCAGAAUUAGGUAGUCAGAAUUAGGUGUUGUGAUUUGUUUUUUUGUUUUAUUGUUGGUCAGCCCAGCUUUUAGGUCUCAUAGACCACUGAUCUUUAAAAAUAAAAUAUACAGGGGAUAAUCAGAAUUAGGUGUUGUGAUUUGUUGGUUAGAUUUUUUUUUUUUUGGGGGUUGGUUCAGUUUUCAUUUGAUUUCUUUAAGAUCAUUAAAAAUAAAAUAUAUAGGAGAUAAUCAAAAUUAGAUGUUGUAAUUUGUUGGUUUGAUUUUUGUUUUGUUGUUGGUCAGUUCAGUUUGUAGAUCUUAUAGAUCUCUGAUCAGUUCAGUUUGUAGAUUUUGUAGACCCUUCAAUUUCGUUAUUGAUCAGUUCAGUUUGUAGAUCUUAUAAACCACUUAAUCUUGUUGAUCAGUUCAGUUUGUAGAUCUUAUAAAUUACUUUCUUAUAGACCACUCAAUCUAGUUAUUGAUCAAUUCAGUUUGAUCAGUUAUUACUUGAUCUCCUAAAUUUUUUUGAUUAAGUCAUUCUCCAUAUAUUAAAACUUCAAUAGUGUUCAUUUUCUAUUUUGACUAUUUGCGUCAUAUUCUCAAAAUCUGUUUUGUUUCGGAGGGUGAUAUUGUGUAGGAGAAAAUUCUGUGAAGGCUGCUGUCUUAGCUGCUAAUCAGCGUCUUGUUUGCAAGGACACGAUGAUUGUAUGUAUCAGACUUGUAAAUAAAAUUACUGUUUCUACAGCUUGGAGUUUCUUUUGUA